rnacentral:pre_miRNA from 1 species
AAUAGUUUUAUGCCACAUCAGUAUUCUUAUCCUGAAUUUUAGGAUUUUAAUUUGGAUUUGAUUUUUUUCAGGAUAAAAUCCUUAAAUUCAGGAUAAGAGUACUGAUGUGGCAUAAAACUAUU